UAGGGGAAUUUGUUGUUAAUAAAAGCUGCUAACUUUUUUUAGUGGAAUUAGAACUCUACUCCUCUUU
rnacentral:tRNA from 1 species